UACGUAGGGUCCGAGCGUUGUCCGGAAUUAUUGGGCGUAAAGGGCUCGUAGGCGGUCUGUUGCGUCGGGAGUGAAAACUUACAGCUUAACUGUGGGCGUGCGGGCGAUACGGGCAGACUGGAGUACUGCAGGGGAGACUGGAAUUCCUGGUGUAGCGGUGGAAUGCGCAGAUAUCAGGAGGAACACCGGUGGCGAAGGCGGGUCUCUGGGCCGAUACUGACGCUGAGGAGCGAAAGCGUGGGGAGCGAACAGG
rnacentral:rRNA from 1 species